AUAUCUUUCUUGGCUUUUUGUCUUAGAUCAACGGUAUUAUCUGUUCUUAUCCGUUUAAUAUCUUAUAUGUGGUGUGAGAACCCACAUGAUAUUAACAUUAAUAUUUUACAAGGGAAGAGUAUGCAGCAGCUGGUUGCUGUUAUCCUUGUUUGUCGCCCAUGCUUUGUGCUGCCGCAUGUGCCUGGUUCAUACCAU
rnacentral:snRNA from 1 species